rnacentral:rRNA from 1 species
GACGAACGCUGGCGGCGUGCCUAAUACAUGCAAGUCGAACGCUCAAGGAGGAGCUUGCUCUUCUGGAUGAGUUGCGCACGGGUGAGUAACGCGUAGGUAACCUGCCUGUUAGAGGGGGAUAACUCUUGGAAAAGCUAGCUAAUACCGCAUAACAGUUGAUGUUGCAUGACAUUUACUUAAAAGGUGCAAUUGUAUCAUUACCAGACGGACCUGCGUUGUAUUAGCUAGUUGGUGGGGUAACGGCUCACCAAGGCGACGAUGCAUAGCCGACCUGAGAGGGUGAUCGGCCACACUGGGACUGAGACACGGCCCAGACUCCUACGGGAGGCAGCAGUAGGGAAUCUUCGGCAAUGGGCGGAAGUCUGACGGAGCAACGCCGCGUGAGUGAAGAAGGUCUUCGGAUCGUAAAACUCUGUUAUAAGGGAAGAACGAGUGUGUAAGUGAAAAGUCCAGACUGGGACGGAAUCUUACAAGAAGGGACCGGCUAACUCCUU